UACAGAGGGUGCAAGCGUUGUUCGGAAUUAUUGGGCGUAAAGCGCGUGUAGGCGGCCUUGCAAGUCGGGUGUGAAAGCCCUCAGCUUAACUGAGGAAGUGCGCCCGAAACUGCAGAGCUUGAGUACCGGAGAGGAUGGUGGAAUUCCCCAAGUAGAGGUGAAAUUCGUAGAUAUGGGGAGGAACACCGGUGGCGAAGGCGACCAUCUGGACGGAUACUGACGCUGAGACGCGAAAGCGUGGGUAGCAAACAGG
rnacentral:rRNA from 1 species